rnacentral:rRNA from 1 species
UACAGAGGGGGGCAAGCGUUUGUUCGGAAUUACUGGGCGUAAAGGGCUCGUAGGCGGCCAACUAAGUCAGACGUGAAAUCCCCAGGCUCAACCUGGGAACUGCGUCUGAUACUGGAUGGCUUGAAUUCGGGAGAGGGAUGCAGAAUUCCAGGUGUAGCGGUGAAAUGCGUAGAUAUCUGGAGGAAUACCGGUGGCGAAGGCGGCAUCCUGGACCGACAUUGACGCUGAUGAGCGAAAGCUAGGGGAGCAAACGGGG